GACGUAGGGUGCGAGCGUUGUCCGGAUUUAUUGGGCGUAAAGCGCGCGUAGGCGGCCGCUCAAGUCGGAUGUGAAAAUCCGGGGCUCAACCCCGGACCUGCAUUCGAUACUGGGUGGCUAGAGGCAGGUAGGGGAGAGCGGAAUUCCUGGUGUAGCGGUGAAAUGCGCAGAUAUCAGGAGGAACACCGGUGGCGAAGGCGGGUCUCUGGGCAGUAACUGACGCUGAGGAGCGAAAGCGUGGGGAGCGAACAGG
rnacentral:rRNA from 1 species